rnacentral:lncRNA from 1 species
CCUUUUUUUUUUUUGUACCCGAGCUUCAUCCCUAGAUGACAUGUGGCUGGGUACCUCGGCACAGUUGUGUAAAAACUGCAACCAGCAUUAGGACAUCUUCACAGCUGUGAAGAAACUGUGACCAGCAUUAGGAAAUCAGAGAGACUCCUACCUAGAGCGAUAGGUAAAAACCAGUCUUUCUCUUACCUGAGAAAAAAUGCUGCCUCUGCCAACGAGGAGUCCCAUGUGCUUGCAGUCCUCAUGGAUCUGAUUUACUUCUUCACGGGGAAGAGGCCGACAGCUUAUCUUGACCUCUGCAUAUGCCAGCGCCUCUUCCCCUUCCACCACGAACAGAAGCAGUCUGAGGCCCUCAUCAGAUGCAGAUGCUGGUGUCAUGCUUCCUGUAUGGUCUGCAGAACCAUGAGCCAAAUAAACCUCUUUUCUUGAUAAAUUGCCCAGCCUCAGGUAUUCCUUUACAGCAACACAAAUGGACUAAAAAAACCUGUUUCAUUGUUUCCACAAUAUGGCUUGCACAUAUUUCCAUGUCAAAUAUAUAUCUAUGCCAUUAUAGUGGGGAUAUGCCACAAGCUAGCUUGCUUUGUAUGAACGGUCAUCUGGGAGGGGGAUUCUGGUGUUUUACUAAGACAAAGUUGUGAUGAACAUCUUUGUUCAUAUGACUUUGAGCACACAGAGGUUGGGUUCAGAACAGAGAAAAAGGAAGAACUCCUCCUCUCUCAUUGGGCUUUCCUCUCUCAAGUCUACACUUUGAGGAGUAUAGAUAACUUUCAGGGAACCCCUUGGGUGGAGAUUAGGAUGAACUCUUCUGAACGUUACAACAACUCUUGUACUUGUCCACACACUGAAAUACGUUAUGACUUGUGAGCUCUUCUCCAUUGUAGAAUGCAUGUUGGGGUCAAAACAAAUAAAUAAAUAAAAUUAUGAGCUGGGGACCUUAGUCUCAUAUUACCCUUUGUUUAUUUUACUGGUGUCUUCCCUUGGCUUUCAAAUCUUACUUAAACAUCCCAGCUUUGUACUGGCUGUGACAUGUGGUAUGAAUUGAAGAGUCUUAUACCAUGUCUGGUCUAAAAAAUUGAGCAUCAAUCCUUCUAAAGUAGAAUGGUGGUAAAACCAAAGAGGUAGAAAUUGCUAGGGAAAGCUGGAUCCCUGUAGACAUGAGGUUAGUCUGGCUAUUCCUCCCUACUCCCAAGAUUCUCCUGCUCUUUUCAGGCUUUGAUUUUAUGGAGGAAAGGCACAAUUUCCUACAGGCAUUUACUAUAGGGGCUGCAGUAGAAACAAAGGGAAAGAUUUGAGAGACAUGGGAGAGAAGAGAUAUCAAUGAGUCCUGUUGUUAGAAACAAGGGAAGAGG